GAUGAACGCUAGCGGCAGGCCUAACACAUGCAAGUCGAGGGGUAGCAGGAUUAAGCUUGCUUAAUUGCUGACGACCGGCGCACGGGUGCGUAACGCGUAUGCAACCUACCUUAUACUGGGGUGUAGCCCGGAGAAAUGUGGAUUAAUACCUCAUGGUCCUUUUGAGCUGCAUGGCUUAAAAGGUAAAGCUCUGGAGGUUAAAGAUGGGCAUGCGUGACAUUAGCUGGUUGGUGAGGUAACGGCUCACCAAGGCGACGAUGUCUAGGGGUUCUGAGAGGAUGAUCCCCCACACUGGUACUGAGACACGGACCAGACUCCUACGGGAGGCAGCAGUGAGGAAUAUUGGUCAAUGGGCGCAAGCCUGAACCAGCCAUCCCGCGUGCAGGAUGACGGCCCUAUGGGUUGUAAACUGCUUUUGUACACCAAGAAAACUUCGGACGUGUCCGAAUCUGACGGUAGUGUAUGAAUAAGCAUCGGCUAACUCCGUGCCAGCCGCCGCCGUAA
rnacentral:rRNA from 1 species